AGUAACACGUGGAUAACCUACCUAUAAGACUGGGAUAACUUCUGGAAACCGGAGCUAAUACCGGAUAAUAUUUUGAACCGCAUGGUUCAAAAGUGAAAGACGGUCUUGCUGUCACUUAUAGAUGGAUCCGCGCUGCAUUAGCUAGUUGGUAAGGUAACGGCUUACCAAGGCAACGAUGCAUAGCCGACCUGAGAGGGUGAUCGGCCACACUGGAACUGAGACACGGUCCAG
rnacentral:rRNA from 1 species